rnacentral:rRNA from 1 species
AGAGUUUGAUCCUGGCUCAGGAUGAACGCUGGCGGAGUGCCUAACACAUGCAAGUCGAGCGGCAGCGCGAGUAGUUUACUACUUGGCGGCGAGCGGCGGACGGCUGAGUAACGCGUGGGAACAUGCCCCAAAGUGAGGAAUAACUGCCCGAAAGGGUAGCUAAUGCCGCAUACGAUCUUCGGAUUAAAGGAUUUAUCCGCUUUGGGAGUGGCCUGCGUACGAUUAGAUAGUUAGUGAGGUAAUGGCUCACCAAGUCUACGAUCGUUAACUGGUUUGAGAGGAUGAUCAGUCAGACUGGAACUGAGACACGGUCCAGACUCCUACGGGAGGCAGCAGUGAGGAAUCUUCCACAAUGGACGAAAGUCUGAUGGAGCAACUCCGCGUGCAGGAUGAAGGCCUUCGGGUCGUAAACUGCUUUAUGAGUGAAGAAUAUGACGGUAACUCAUGAAUAAGGGUCGGCUAACUACGUG